rnacentral:rRNA from 1 species
GACGAACGCUGGCGGCGUGCCUAAUACAUGCAAGUCGAACGCAGUGGGGACGGGUGCGUAACCCGUGGGUAACCUCCCAUCAGAGGGGAUAACCCUUGGAAACAGGUGCUAAACCGAUACUGAUGGAUGGACCCGCGGUGCAUUAGCUAGUUGGUGAGGUAACGGCUCACCAAGGCCACGAUGCAUAGCCGACCUGAGAGGGUGAUAGGUCACACUGGGAAUGAGACACGGCCCAGACUCAUACGGGAGGCAGCAGUAGGGAAUCAGAGGCAAUGGACGAAAGGCUGACCGAGCAACGCCGAGUGAGUGAAGAAGGUUUUCGGAUCGUAAAACUCUGUGGUGAGAGAAGCGGUAUCUAACCAGAAAGCCACGGCUAACUAAGUGCCAGCAGACGCGGUAAUUC